rnacentral:rRNA from 1 species
UCCACGCCCUAAACGAUGUCAACUAGUUGUUGGAGGAGUGAAAUCCUUUAGUAACGAAGCUAACGCGUGAAGUUGACCGCCUGGGGAGUACGGUCGCAAGAUUAAAACUCAAAGGAAUUGACGGGGACCCGCACAAGCGGUGGAUGAUGUGGAUUAAUUCGAUGCAACGCGAAGAACCUUACCUACCCUUGACAUGUCCGGAACUUGCCAGAGAUGGCUUGGUGCCCGAAAGGGAACCGGAACACAGGUGCUGCAUGGCUGUCGUCAGCUCGUGUCGUGAGAUGUUGGGUUAAGUCCCGCAACGAGCGCAACCCUUAUCAUUAGUUGCUACGCAAGGGCACUCUAAUGAGACUGCCGGUGACAAACCGGAGGAAGGUGGGGAUGACGUCAAGUCCUCAUGGCCCUUAUGG